AUUGAACGCUGGCGGCAUGCUUUACACAUGCAAGUCGGACGGCAGCACAGAGAAGCUUGCUUCUUGGGUGGCGAGUGGCGAACGGGUGAGCAAUAUAUCGGAACGUACCGAGUAAUGGGGGAUAACUAAUCGAAAGAUUAGCUAAUACCGCAUAUUCUCUGAGGAGGAAAGCAGGGGACCUUCGGGCCUUGCGUUAUUCGAGCGGCCGAUAUCUGAUUAGCUAGUUGGUGGGGUAAAGGCCUACCAAGGCGACGAUCAGUAGCGGGUCUGAGAGGAUGAUCCGCCACACUGGGACUGAGACACGGCCCAGACUCCUACGGGAGGCAGCA
rnacentral:rRNA from 1 species